UACGGAGGACUCGAGCGUUAUCCGGAUUUAUUGGGUUUAAAGGGUGCGUAGGUUGUUGUGUAAGUUAGAGGUGAAAUCCCGUGGCUCAACCACGGAACUGCCUCUGAUACUGCAUAACUAGAGAUUGGUUGCAGCUGGCGGAAUGUGUGGUGUAGCGGUGAAAUGCUUAGAUAUCACACAGAACACCGAUUGCGAAGGCAGCUGGCUAAGCCACAUCUGACACUGAGGCACGAAAGCGUGGGGAUCAAACAGG
rnacentral:rRNA from 1 species